ensembl:miRNA
GGUACUUCUCAGUCUGUGGCACUCAGCCUUGAGGGCACUUUCUGGUGCCAGAUGAAAGUGCUGUCAUAGUUGAGGUCCAAUGACUGAGGCGAGCACC